rnacentral:misc_RNA from 1 species
GUUUCAAUAUAUACAUUACCGACAAAAUUUAAAGUUGCAGUGCAAUUUCUUCUGAGUUUGAAGCCAAUGGCAACUACUCCAUUAAUGGAAGACGUCACAGUGGAUGGAUCCGUUGACUACAAAAGCAGGCCGGCCCACCGAUCAAGCUCCGGCGGAUGGAGAUCAGCAUCAUUCAUCAUAGGUAGGCCAAAGUGAAUUUCUAUCUUUCUUUCUUUCUUUCGACUCAUAAAAUCAACAAUCAAUAAAAAAAAAAAAGUGAAGCGAUUGCUAAAACCAAUUAAUCUCUGUAGCUGUGGAAGUGGCGGAGAGAUUUGCGUACUAUGGGAUAUCUUCCAACCUUAUAUCUUACUUAACGAGUUCUCUUGGCCAGUCCACCGCAAGUGCGGCUGAGAGUGUCAACACUUGGUCGGGCACGGCAACUCUUCUGCCGCUUUUAGGAGGGUUUGUGGCGGAUUCUUUUCUUGGCCGCUACCGCACUAUCUUUUUUGCUUCUCUCAUCUAUAUCUUGGUUAGUAUCAUUCUUCCUUUGAUUAAUUACUCUCUUGUAAGAUGAGAGUUUCCGAUUCUUGAGUCAUUACUUCCAGAUUUACAACUCAUCAUCUGAGAAUUUCCAUUAGAAAUCUGAAUUUUCUGUUUUCCAUUUUUUUUUCACUUUAUUUAUUAUUUUGUAAAAAGAAAUUUAGAAAAAAAAGGGGGUAGGAGCAGGAGAAUAUAAAAAUAUCACGUGUGAUAGCGUGCUCUGAAUCACGUGGUUGUAUUUUCAACGGGGUAAUGAUUUUGGUUUUUGAAAAUCUCUUAAUCCUGAUAUGGUAUAUGCAACAAGAACUACCUUAGGAUUUCAAGCAAGUUGCAAAGAAAUGUUCAUUUCAGCAUUGUAUGAAUUGCCAAUGUUUCAAUAGUGGAAAUGACUUCCAGGGACUUGGCUUGUUGACUCUAUCAGUUGCCCUAACUUCUACUGAUGUUUCUGAAUGUGAGAGCACCAAAAAUGGCACAUCAUGUUCUCCCCCUUUGUUCCAAGUAAUCCUAUUCUUCUUCUCUCUGUAUCUAGUAGCUGUUGGGCAAGGUGGGCACAAGCCUUGUGUUCAGGCUUUUGGAGCUGAUCAAUUUAAUGCACUAGAUCCAAAGGAGAGUGGAGCAAAGAGGUCAUUUUUCAAUUGGUGGUAUUUUAGUUUUUCAGCAGGCAUUAACUUAUCACUUAUAGUCGUAGUUUACAUCCAAGAAAACCUUAAUUGGGUUUUGGGAUUUGGAAUCCCCUGCAUUGUGAUGUUAGCCGCAUUACUUGUUUUUUUGCUUGGAAGUAGAACUUAUAGGUAUAGUAUCAAAGGAAAUGAGCAAAAUCCAUUUAUAAGAAUUGGUAGGGUAAUUGUCAGAGCGGCCCGGAAUUGGCGAAGUGCUCCUUUAGGCUUAGCUGCAGAGGAAGAAACUUACAUGUGCGAUCAAAGUUCUGAGCAAUUCAAGUAAGAGAACACAGGGAUUUUGUUUUGUGGUUCAAAAAGUACUUAGUAACUGAAACUGCUUUACUUCUAUAGAAAAAAAAAAUCUCUAACCUAGCAAUUUUGUCUACCAUGGAAGGUUCCUCAACAAAGCAUUGCUCGCCCCAGAUAGUAUAAUGGAAGGUCAAGAGAAAUGUCGUGUCAGCGACGUCAACGAAACAAAGGCAUUGUUAAGACUUAUUCCAAUAUGGGCUACAAGCUUGGCAUAUGCAAUUGUGUUUUCACAAACAACUACUUUCUUUACAAAGCAAGGAGUUACAAUGGACAGAACAAUUUUCACAGGAUUCAAAAUUCCGGCUGCUUCACUUCAAACCUUUAUUGGCUUUGCCAUUAUUCUCUUCAUUCCUAUAUAUGAUCGUAUUUUUGUCCCUCUAGCUAGAUCUUUAACUGGGAAUCCCUCUGGCAUUACUAUGCUUCAAAGAAUUGGGACUGGAAUGAUUGUAUCUGCUCUUUCUAUGGCAAUUGCAGCUUUAGUAGAGAAGAAAAGACUUAAAGUUGCUGAAGAAUAUGGGAUGGUUGAUGAGCCAAAUGCGACAAUUCCCAUGAGUAUUUGGUGGUUGGUACCUCAGUAUGUAUUAUGUGGUGUUGCUGAUGUGUUCACCAUUGUUGGCCUUCAGGAGUUUUUCUAUGAUCAAGUUCCAGAGGGAUUGAGAAGUGUAGGUCUCUCACUCUACCUUAGUGUGAUAGGUGUAGGAAACUUUCUAAGUAGUUUUCUUGUCUCUGUCAUUGACAAGGCAACAGGUAAAUACGGACAUAGCUGGUUUGCUAACAAUCUUAACAGGGCACAUCUUGAUCAUUUUUAUUGGUUACUUGCUGGACUUACUGUAGUAGGAUUUCUUGCCUACUUGCAUUUUGCUAGAUCAUACAUUUAUAAGAGGGCAAAUGAAAGUUAAAUGUGUUAUUAUACUGCCUCUCCUGCUACUUUGAAUUGUGAUUGGCAGGAUUUGUUAAGAAUUAUGUUGAAAAGACUAGAAUUCUAUGGAUCUUAAUCCAUGUACAUGCAUCAAUCUUUAUAAUCAUACUUGAUCAUUG